rfam:Oryza glaberrima chromosome 1 Oglab01_0032_15, whole genome shotgun sequence.
UUCAUCAUUUGAUCAUCCGUUUUUUUAAAAUAUUUUUGUUAUUAGUAUUUUUGUUGUUAUUAGAUGAUAAAACAUGAAUAAUACUUUACGCGUAUUAUUUUUUUACUUUUUUCAUUAAAAAAUUAAAUAAGAUGGACGGUCAAACGUUGGACUUAAAAACCUAC